UACGGGGGGGGCAAGCGUUGUUCGGAAUUACUGGGCGUAAAGGGCUCGUAGGCGGCCAACUAAGUCGGAUGUGAAAUCCCCGAGCUUAACUUGGGAAUUGCGCUCGAAACUACGUGGCUCGAGUGUGGCAGAGGAAGGUGGAAUUCCACGUGUAGCGGUGAAAUGCGUAGAGAUGUGGAGGAACACCGAUGGCGAAGGCAGCCUUCUGGGCCAACACUGACGCUCAUGCACGAAAGCGUGGGGAGCAAACAGG
rnacentral:rRNA from 1 species